rnacentral:rRNA from 1 species
GGAUCAUUAUCGUGCAACCGAGGUGUGAGGGCUGUCGCUGACCUUUAAGCGUUGUGCACGNCCAAAGCACUCUCACACAUCCAUCUUCACCCCUUUGUGCAUCACCGCGUGGGCCCUCCUUUGCAGGAGGGCUUGCGUUUUCACAUAAAACUUGAUACAGUGUAGAAAAUGCUUUUGCGGUCACACGCAAUCAAUACAACUUUCAACAACGGAUCUCUUGGCUCUCGCAUCGAUGAAGAACGCAGCGAAAUGCGAUACGUAAUGUGAAUUGCAGAAUUCAGUGAAUCAUCGAAUCUUUGAACGCACCUUGCGCCCCUUGGCAUUCCGAGGGGCACACCCGUUUGAGUGUCGUGAAAUCAUCAAAAACCUUUUUCCUUUGAACCUUUUUGGUCAGGGAAAAGGAUUUUUGGACUUGGAGGUUCCAUGCUUGCUUUCACCUUUGAAAGUGAGCUCCUCUCAAAUGAAUUAGUGGGGUCUGCUUUGCUGAUCCUUGACGUGAUAAGAUGUUUCUACGUUUUGGAUUUAGCACUGUCCCUUGGAUGCCUGCUUCUAAUCGUCUCUUGGGACAUUGAUGGUGCUUCGGUCACCGCCAUCUACGUUGGUGGAAGGAAGGCCGGGCCCACAUAAAAACCCUUGACCUCAAAUCGGGUGAGACUACCCGCUGAACUUAAGCAUAUCAAUAAGCGGAGGAAAAGAAACUAACAAGGAUUCCCCUAGUAACUGCGAGUGAAGCGGGAAAAGCUCAAAUUUAAAAUCUGG